UGUCUCAAUGAGUUUGCAACCAACUAACUGAAUCAAUUUCAAGAGAGCAGUUGAAACAAAGCAGCUGAAAACUGAAUCAAAUAAGAACAAACAUUUUGUUAGUGCAAGCUUCUUCACGCUGCUGACCUGCCUUCCUUCCCAUCACCAGUUUGCCUCAGUCAUAACCUCAUUAAGGACAUACCACUUCUAGGGAUGAGAAGGAUGGAUGGGAGCACAUGAGGGAAACCAGCACCCCAAGCCCGUCCAGAAUGGGAGGGAGUGUGAUGAGGCAUACAAACCCCAUAGUGGCAAGAAGGUGGUUAAUGAGAGAAUAUGGACUCAUUUGGGUCCACCCCGCUACACAUGUAGCAGAUGUCAAGAAGGGAGUUUAAAAGAGACGACCUACCUCAGUUUGGGACUGAGCAGGAAGGAGAGCAGAGCUCUGCUUUUCUCUUUCUGACGGCAGACUGGUUUCAGGCAAGAGUCUGGAACAAUCCUCUCAGUGGAUAUAAUGACUAGGCCCAGGAAGACUGACUAAAAGGGCUGGCUGUAUGAAGAUAAGCCCUGAGUAGCAGAGUGGGGUCCUACUGAAGAUUUUGGGUCUAUAGUAUUUUUGGGGAGACUUUAAUAUUGCAGAAGGGGGGAACUUGAAUCAUGUUCUGGCCUGAGGGCCAAGUCACAGGUGGAUCUCUGAAAGACAAGACCAGCUGUCACCCAGCUGCACCAGAUGGGGAGACAGCUACUAUACCAUGCCUAGCCACGAGGAGACAUUCCAGUGGUAAGUCUACUAUUUCAUAGUACUGUACACUUUAGAGAAAUUAUGAUGAAUAUCUACAAGGA